AACGUAGGUGGCAAGCGUUAUCCGGAUUUACUGGGCGUAAAGCGUGUGCAGGCGGUCUUAUAAGUGGUGUAUGAAAUCUCCGCGCUUAACGUGGAGGGGUUAUGCCAGACUGUAGGACUUGAACCCAUCAGAGGGACGUGGAAUUCCGGGUGUAGUGGUGAAAUGCGUAGAGAUCCGGAGGAACACCAGAGGCGAAAGCGGC
rnacentral:rRNA from 1 species